CCUACGGGUGGCAGCAGUGAGGAAUAUUGGUCAAUGGACGGGAGACUGAACCAGCCAAGUAGCGUGAAGGAUGAAUGCACAGUGGGUUGUAAACUUCUUUUGUAAGGGAAUAAAAACAGGCACGUGUGCCUUUUUGCGUGUACUUUAUGAAUAAGCAUCGGCUAACUCCGUGCCAGCAGCCGCGGUAAUACGGAGGAUGCGAGCGUUAUCCGGAUUUAUUGGGUUUAAAGGGAGCGUAGACGGGUUGUUAAGUCAGUUGUGAAAGUCUGCGGCUAAACCGUAGAAUUGCAAUUGAUACUGGCAGUCUAGAGUACAGUUGAGGUAUGCGGAAUUCGUGGUGUAGCGGUGAAAUGCUUAGAUAUCGCGCAGAACCCCGAUUGCGAAGGCAGCUUACUAACCUGUGACUGACAUUGAUGCUCGAAAGUGUGGGUAUCAAACAGGAUUAGAUACCCGAGUAGUC
rnacentral:rRNA from 1 species